GCCGCCUGUCACGCUCUCCUCACCUGGGACCUUAUCUUGCUUUUGGUUACGGAAUAGGAGGCCUGAGUGUAGAGCGGUUUUCGCCUUUGUUUCCCUCUCAUACUUUCCCCUCCCAUGGCGCCUAAAAAGCUACUGCUGAUACUGCGGAGCUAGUUAGUAUCGGCUCUAUGAUGUGCGUUCUUCCAGUAGGAGAUUUUCCGAGGGAGCGAGGGUAAAGGGAGACCCAAAAUAGGAUCUCAUACCACCUGGUUCCACACCACAAAGACACAGAGGACACCGGACCACCAGACCACUGUACUGGAGGCAGCUUUUGAACCAACCACAAGGAUUUUAGACAAAACAGGAACAAACCAAAAGAGAUCAUCUUAUAACUUGGAGCAAGGAUGGACCUCAACAUGGUUCCCAGCUUUGAAUUUUCAUGCCUGAGGAAUCAUAACAGCCUCACAUCUCUUCUCCACCUCUUCUCCUCUCAUCUCUUCAUCACCACUCUCUCCUGUACUGCUGUGUCCUGACACUCGAGGACAGUUCUGGAAUUGAAGGUGCCCCUGCUACUGGUUAUGUCCAAAGCCAUCCUCUGGGUGAAUAAGCCUCAGAGGCCUCCUUGUGGGAAGACAGCAUCAAGCUGCAAGACUCCUGCGACUCCCAUGUCCACUGAUGCCCACAGCCUUUCAGACUCCAGAAGGAACCCCUGAUCCUGGGCCUUAUGUUUAUCUUCAUCUUAUUGCUAGAUACCUUUUAAAAUGUAAAAAUAAUUAAAUAAAAUAUAUGAUGUCCAUAGUUUGAGGACCAAAAUAA
rnacentral:lncRNA from 1 species